UACGUAGGUGGCAAGCGUUGUCCGGAAUUAUUGGGCGUAAAGGGUGCGUAGGCGGAUUAUUAAGUUAGAUGUGAAAGCCCCAGGCUUAACUUGGGGACUGCAUUUAAAACUGGUAGUCUAGAGUGCAGGAGAGGAAAGCGGAAUUCCUAGUGUAGCGGUGAAAUGCGUAGAUAUUAGGAAGAACAUCAGUGGCGAAGGCGGCUUACUGGACUGUAACUGACGCUGAGGCACGAAAGCGUGGGGAGCAAACAGG
rnacentral:rRNA from 1 species